AGAGUUUGAUCCUGGCUCAGGACGAACGCUGGCGGCGUGCCUAACACAUGCAAGUCGAACGGACGAGGAGGAGCUUGCUUCUCCAAGUCAGUGGCGGACGGGUGAGUAACGCGUGAGUAACCUGCCCUUCAGAGGGGGAUAACGUCUGGAAACGGACGCUAAUACCGCAUGACAUAUUUCCAUCGCAUGGUGGAGAUAUCAAAGGAGCAAUCCGCUGAAGGAUGGACUCGCGUCCGAUUAGCUAGUUGGUGAGGUAACGGCCCACCAAGGCAACGAUCGGUAGCCGGACUGAGAGGUUGAACGGCCACAUUGGGACUGAGACACGGCCCAGACUCCUACGGGAGGCAGCAGUGGGGAAUAUUGCACAAUGGGGGAAACCCUGAUGCAGCGACGCCGCGUGGAGGAAGAAGGUCUUCGGAUUGUAAACUCCUGUUGUUGAGGAAGAUAAUGACGGUACUCAACAAGGAAGUGACGGCUAACUACGUGCCAGCAGCCGCGGUAAAACGUAGGUCACAAGCGUUGUCCGGAAUUACUGGGUGUAAAGGGAGCGCAGGCGGGAAGACAAGUUGGAAGUGAAAUCCAUGGGCUCAACCCAUGAACUGCUUUCAAAACUGUUUUUCUUGAGUAGUGCAGAGGUAGGCGGAAUUCCCGGUGUAGCGGUGGAAUGCGUAGAUAUCGGGAGGAACACCAGUGGCGAAGGCGGCCUACUGGGCACCAACUGACGCUGAGGCUCGAAAGUGUGGGUAGCAAACAGGAUUAGAUACCCUGGUAGUCCACACUGUAAACGAUGAUUACUAGGUGUUGGAGGAUUGACCCCUUCAGUGCCGCAGUUAACACAAUAAGUAAUCCACCUGGGGAGUACGACCGCAAGGUUGAAACUCAAAGGAAUUGACGGGGGCCCGCACAAGCAGUGGAGUAUGUGGUUUAAUUCGACGCAACGCGAAGAACCUUACCAAGUCUUGACAUCCUGCGACGGUGCUGGAAACAGUACUUUCCUUCGGGACGCAGAGACAGGUGGUGCAUGGUUGUCGUCAGCUCGUGUCGUGAGAUGUUGGGUUAAGUCCCGCAACGAGCGCAACCCUUAUGGUCAGUUACUACGCAAGAGGACUCUGGCCAGACUGCCGUUGACAAAACGGAGGAAGGUGGGGAUGACGUCAAAUCAUCAUGCCCUUUAUGACUUGGGCUACACACGUACUACAAUGGCGUUAAACAAAGAGAAGCAAGACCGCGAGGUGGAGCAAAACUCAGAAACAACGUCCCAGUUCGGACUGCAGGCUGCAACUCGCCUGCACGAAGUCGGAAUUGCUAGUAAUCGCAGAUCAGCAUGCUGCGGUGAAUACGAACCCGGGCCUUGCACACACCGCCCGUCA
rnacentral:rRNA from 1 species